rnacentral:rRNA from 1 species
CGUCAAAUCAUCAUGCCCCUUAUGUCUUGGGCUACACACGUACUACAAUGGCCUGAACAGAGGGCAGCGAGACUGCGAAGUUAAGCGAAUCCCUAAAAACAGGUCCCAGUUCGGAUUGCAGGCUGCAACCCGCCUGCAUGAAGUCGGAAUCGCUAGUAAUCGCAGGUCAGCAUACUGCGGUGAAUACGUUCCCGGGCCUU